UUUCUUCCCGUCGGCCAGCACUCUUCCCCCUCUUCCCGUCGGCCACCACCAGCUGCCAUCUCCGACGCGAGCCUUCUCCAGACGCGAGCAAGCCUAGCUGCGAAGACUGCUGCCGGUAUGCGAUUACACCUUCUCAUUUAUAUCACACCUUUUCCUCCUUUUAUUGGAAUCUCUCUUUCUUCUUUUAUGACAUGAAUAUGUGAUUUUUUCCCCAAUCAUACGAUGCGAGUUCUGUUUUUGAUCCCCCCAGUAAUCGAGUUCUGUUUUUGAUCCCCCCCAGUAUGCGAGUUCUCUCAUACUUGACAUUUUAUGGUUCUUUAAUUUUGAUCCCCCAAGUAAUCAAACGUUUUUUUAGUACUAUUUUUUAAUAUUUUGUUUAUUUUUGAAAGUUGUAGAAGAGGUGGAAUAGAGUCAAUCCACAGUUCCACACUGUAUGAAACACAAUUCCCUCUAGUUCAAUAUUUUUCUUAUGUCAAAUUGAUUUUGGGAUGAUUUUAAUUUUGGCUAAGUAUUCUACUGAUUUUUCUUAUGGCUAAAAAAGCCUACUGAUUUUGGCUAAGUAUUCUCCUUACUGAUUUUGGCUAAGUAUUCUCCCUACUGAUUUUGGCUAAGUAUUCUCCUUACUGAUUUUAUCAUUUUAAUACUGAUUUUAAUGACAGAAUCAGUACUAAACUAAUGAUUAAAUGAUUUAGGGAUGAUUUUGGCAUGAAUAUACUAAUUUAGUAUUUUUUGCCAAUAAAAUAACAUUGUCAUUUUUAUGUUUGUCGAAUCAGAAUUAGGGAUGACUCAGACUUACAAUGACGAUUUAUACCAAGAGAAUGACGACAUGUACUACGACUACGAAGUCGAUGCCAAUGACGACGCACAUGGUGAUGAAGAGCCACUUGAUGAUGUUGAUGCCAAUGACUUAUCCCAUCAAGUUGUUGGAGAAGAUGAACGUGAACAGUUAAUCAAGUGGCAUUCUAAAACCACCGACGAGGAAAAGAAUGACACAAAACUACGACCGAAGUCUAGCGAUCCAGCAUGGAAAUAUGUCAUUCUAUUGAAAAAGACUGACUCCAAUGGAGUCAAAUGUCUAUUUUGUCAUUGGAUUUCAACUGGUGGAAUCGGUCGAAUGAAAGGUCACUUUCUUGGUGGUGACAGAAAUUGCAUCAAAUGUCCAAAGACCACGUCUUUCGUUCGUAAUGAGAUCCGUGAAUAUGUCAAAGAAAAGAAGAUAAAAGCAAUGAAAGGGAAAUCAACAUAUGUGGAUGACGAUGACCAAACUGAUGUCAUUUUCGUCAAAGAAAAUCCUAUUGAUCCCAAAAAAUUAAAGAGGCCAGCGGUGGCGGUAAAGAAAUCAAUUUCUUCUUUUGCUGGAUCCAUCAAUUCAAAGGUGAAAGCGCUUUCUUUGAAUGAUGGUGAGAGUCUUGUCGACGUAGUUCGUAAUCGGAAAAAACAGCCACUCAUCGUGGAAUGUCUGAAGAAGGACGAAAGACUUAUAGUAGACAAGCUUGUGGCUAAAGCUUUCUAUUCAGCUGGUAUUCCAUUCAAUGUCCGAAAUAAUAUUGACUUUCAGGUAUUUUUCAUUUCAAUACAAUUUCUGAUAAUUAAUGUGAAUAUUCUGAUUUUCAGAAAUUAAUUCCAAUUUUCUGAAUUUAGGUUAUGUUAGAAGUUGUUGGUCGAUAUGGAUGGGGUUAUGUUCCGCCCACUGUGCAUAGGCUUCGAGGUCCACUUUUGAAUGAAGAAGUAGCUUCUUUUGAUGACAUGAGAAGUAAACAUGAAGAGAAAUGGUCCAUCAACGGAUGCACACUCAUGUCUGACGGUUGGACGGAUCAGAAAGGAAGAAGCAUAAUCAACUUUUUGAUCAACUCUGCUGCUGGAUCUUUUUAUUUGUACUCUAUUGAUGCAUCCGCCCAUGAAAAAAAUGCUGAAUUUAUAGCACGUACCCUAGAUGAUGCGAUGCAGAAGGUUGGGGUUAAGAACGUCGUCCAAAUUUGCACAGAUAAUGCUGCCAACUACGUGAGAGCAGGAAAAAUUCUGAUGGAGAAGUAUAGUCAUCUAUAUUGGACUCCAUGUGUGGCGCAUUGCAUUGACCUAAUACUGGAGGAUAUUGGCAAGAUACCUUCAUUUAAAAAGGUGAUUUUAUCAGGCCGUCAGAUCACUACAUAUGUAUACACGCAUUCAGUUCUUCAUGCUGAGUUUUUGAGAUUAAGCAAUAACAAGGAAUUGAUUAGGUGUGGCGUCACAAGAUUUGCCACUUCGUUCCUGACUCUGCAGAGCCUAAAAGACCACAGAUACCACUUAGGCAAGUUGGAUUGGCAGAAGUGGCUAGAUAUUGGACAUGGAGAGGAAGUGCAGAGGAAUGUCUUUGCUAGAGCUUUCUGGACAGGUGUGGAAGAUUGUUUGAAAGCAUCUCAGGCUUUAGUUGCUCUUUUGAGAUUGGUGGAUACAGAUGAUAAGCCAUGCAUGGGGCAUGUCACUCAAUGUUUUGAGAAGGCGAACAAAACAAUUGAAACUCAUUUUGAAAACAAACCUGGAAUGUUGAGAAGUCUAAAGGCUAUCAUGAAGAAAAGAUUAGAUAAACACUUCAACCAUGAUUUGUUUGAAGCUGGAGCAUUUCUAAAUCCCAACUUUUACUAUGAGUUGAAGAAGUAAGUCUCCUCUUCAUGUUAUUUGAUAAUUAAUUUUGAAAACCUAUUAUCUAAUUACUAAUAUAUUUCCUUCUAACUAAUAGGACAAGAGUUGGGUUUGAGAAGGCCUUAGCUUAUGAGGGAAAGUUUCAAAAAUGUGUUCUUCGAAUGAUUGAUCAUGAUGAUGAACGAAGAACGAUAAUGAAUCAACUAACUCUCUACAAAGAAGGGGUCAUUUUGCAUCUAGGUUGGCUACUCAAGCCAUUGCCACAACAGAUUCAAGUAAUGUGUUCCAUAAUUCUGAUUUGUUAAUCUGAAUUAUUUAAUAUUAAUGAGUCUAAUUUCGUUUUUGGAAAUUGCAAUUGCACAGUGUCUUGGUGGAGUUCAUAUGGCAUAUCUACCCCAGCAUUAAUGAUUGCGGCUACACGUAUUUUGGGACUUUGUGUCACUGCUUCUAGCUGUGAAAGAAAUUGGAGUACCUUUGAUUUUGUAAGUAUGAAAUAGUAAGUAAUGUGUCUCUGUGUAUUUAAUGAAACUGAAACAAGUUAUCUUCCAUAUAACAGAUUCACACGAAGAGAAGGAAUCGACUAGAGACCGACCGAUGUAGUAAAUUGGUGUUUGUCGAUUACAACCGCCGAUUGAAGGAUCGUUAUGAAGAGAAAUGCCUUGGAAACGACUUCGACCCCAUUGUCGUUGAAGAUUUGAAUUGGAGUAGUGAAUGGAUGACCGGUGAAGACGGUCCUUCAAAUGAAUUUGUUUAUGGUGAAGAAGGUUUAACUUGGGCGUCUAUUGAAGUAGCUAUGGUGUCAAUGAACCUAUUGGACCAUCAACAAGGAAUAGGAGAGGAGCUGAAGUUGAAGAGGAUGUUGAGCAAGCUCCUUAGACCUUAGAGUCCUUGGGCUUAGACUAUUGUUAAUCACUUAAUCUUAAUUAUAUAGUUUUAGACUUUGUUCUGCAAUUUCUAUUUACUAUUUAGACUUUUAAACUUUAUUGGAUCAUUGGAACACUAUUUGCUAUAUUAUAUUAUUCAUAUAUUAUGGAAAUAUCAGGGGUAAUUAUAAAAAAUACAUGUAAAUAUAACAUGUCGCAUAUUUACGUAUAUGCGCGUAUAUGCACGCAUAUACUUAUAUGCUUAAAAUGCCAUCGCAUGAACGCAUAGACGCAUAGAAAACCUUGAUUCUAAUUUCUAAAAACAUGAUUUGAUACUUUGAUCUGAUUUUUUUAUUUUUUUAGGAUCUGAUUUUUUAAACAGGGUCAAAUUUUCAUCUUGAUAUUUUUUUUUUAAACAGGGUCUAAUCUGGAGUUAGAAUAGAUGUGUAACUAUAGAAUUUUUCGAGUUUUAGAUUUAUGAUUUUACUCUUUAUUUUGGUCACUAAAAUUUAUAAUUUUGGCUUUCAAAACCAUUGACUACUCUUUAUAGACUAUAUUACAUGGUUUAUAUUUAAUUGAUGGAAUUAAUAUUACAGGGUUUAUUAAUAUACAUGUAUAUCUGAUUUUUAAUGAAAUUUCAACUUCAUCAAAAAAAAAAUAGAAAACCCUGUCAAAAACUAUGUUUCUGAUAAAGAUAAAACACUUGUAUAUAAAAUGCAAUCAUGCAAAAGCCAAAAGAAAUCAUGAAUAUGGCAAAUGGUAAAAAAGAAAUAAAAAAAUAUUAGGAAAAAAGAUACGAUAAACAGAGAGGUGUUGAUCAUCCUUUAGAACUUUGCCCUUGAAAAUUAAACGUUGUUGUUCAGCAGGGACACCAACUGCACCUGCUAUGGUCUCCUUCAACAAUGAAACUGGCUUCUGAAAAUAAUUAAGCAUGGAAAAUUAGGUAUAUCAAGGAAAGAAACAUUGGGAAAAUAGAGUGCAGACCUACUCUGAACUCUCACAUGUGGAAAACAAUACUAGCUAAUAAGGAAACCAUAGAGAAAUGUAUAAAUUGCUUGAGUAACUAUAGGGUCACACAAAUUGCCCCCUCCAAGCACUCAGAAACAUUAAGGCCCAAAGGCAUCAUACAAGAGAUAAAUCUAGGGAUCUGGUCCAAAAAGUCUCCCAAAUUCUCCAUGUUGUUGUGGAGAAUUAAGGUCAAGAGUCUCAACACAUUAACUAGACUACAUAGUUGGACAUAAAUACAGGCUGUUGUUGGACAUUAACUAGACUACAGGCUCAACAUAAAUACAACCUGCCCACUAUGUGGACAGGAGGAAGAAACAUUACAACAUUUAUACUUUAAUUGUCAUUACACUAGAUCCUUCUUGCUAGAAUCCACUAACCAUCUUAAUAAUAUGGUUUGGACACUUAGUGGACAAAAUCCCCCUUCUCCCGCAAUAGAUAUCAGGAUAGGCAACACUAUGGAAACAAUACAAAAAUUCACCCACAAGUCCAGCUGUUGGGGGGUACACUGGACUAUGCUAGUAUCUCUCUCCUGGCACAGAUUUUCACACACAAUAGGCAGGUCUCAACAAUCUAAAAAUAAUAAUUUGCUGUGUUUUAAAUUUUCACAGAAGAAUAAAAAAAGGAUAAAGAGAGAAAAAUGACAGCUAGUGAUGCAGCACAUGAUCUAUCUACCUUCUUUAAUCAGUGUAGUAGAAACCCCAACUCUGUUGAAGAUAUAUUCAUAUAUCUAUAAUAACAGAUCAAGGUGGGCCUGAUAUUAAUGAGGAAUUAGCCCACAUGUGGUCCAACCAGAGUUGGGCCACCGGCCACCCCUCCCUCCUUUAAGGAGGCCUCUCUAACUCACAUCAUUGGUUUGUCCAUCCCUAAUGAUGUGAGUGUAAAUAUGGUGGACCACAUUGGAGGAGCAUCUUAGUAUGUUGUGCCUCAGGUAUUACUCUCAUCUACUUUACUCUUUUCUUUUGGCUACUACUUUAUCUUUACUAUUUCAAUCUAUCUCUUCUUGGUGGAUUCCAAGAACUUUCAUCUUUUAUUAAUCUGAAGAAGAUUCUCAAUCACCUAGGGAGGAAAUUAAUAAAUGCCUAAAAUGUGGGGUUGGAUGCAACAUUAGGUGGAAUUGUGGAAACAUCCUCUCCUUUAAUCUCCUUAGGGGAUAUAGUGAACUGGAGACUAUCAGAGAAAAAAUUCAUAAUGAUGCUUUAACCAAGGACAUUUUGGCUAAAAUGCCAACUAAAUUCUCCAUGAUGUUAUAGAGAAUCAAAUGAAAACACGCCAUUCAAAGACUUAGGGAAUGGAUAAUUCAAACUGUUGAGGUCAGGGUUUUCUAUGCGCCGUUUAUGCGACGUUUAUGCGUCGCAUAAACGGCCAUGCGCAUUUCCAGACCCUCGCAUAGGUGUUCUAUGCGUUUCGGGCCUGGGGCGGGUCGGGUCAACGGGUCGGGCCGGGUGAAACCCUAUUACCCGUUACCUUAUUGAAAAAAAAUUUAUCAAAACCCAAUUAAAAAAAACCCUCGAUUUUCUCUCUUCCCGUCGGCCAGCACCCUUCCCCCUCCCUUCCUUAGAUCUUAGAGCCCUUGGGCUUAGACUAUUGUUAAUCUUAAUUAUAUAGUUUUAGACUUUGUUAUGCAAUUUCUAUUUACUAUUUAGACUUUUAAACUUUAUUGAGUCAUUG
rnacentral:lncRNA from 1 species